rnacentral:rRNA from 1 species
UACGGCGAGUGAAGCGGUAAAAGCUCAAAUUUGAAAUCUGGUACUUUCAGUGCCCGAGUUGUAAUUUGUAGAAUUUGUCUUUGAUUAGGUCCUUGUCUAUGUUCCUUGGAACAGGACGUCAUAGAGGGUGAGAAUCCCGUUUGGCGAGGAUACCUUUUCUCUGUAAGACUUUUUCGAAGAGUCGAGUUGUUUGGGAAUGCAGCUCAAAGUGGGUGGUAAAUUCCAUCUAAAGCUAAAUAUUGGCGAGAGACCGAUAGCGAACAAGUACAGUGAUGGAAAGAUGAAAAGAACUUUGAAAAGAGAGUGAAAAAGUACGUGAAAUUGUUGAAAGGGAAGGGCAUUUGAUCAGACAUGGUGUUUUUUGCAUGCACUCGCCUCUCGUGGGCUUGGGCCUCUCAAAAAUUUCACUGGGCCAACAUCAAUUCUGGCAGCAGGAUAAAUCAUUAAGAAUGUAGCUACUUCGGUAGUGUUAUAGCUUUUUGGAAUACUGUUAGCCGGGAUUGAGGACUGCGCUUCGGCAAGGAUGUUGGCAUAAUGGUUAAAUGCCGCCCGUCUUGAAACACGGACCA